GCCCCUGUGGACAUUGUCAAGGAAAGAGUAGAGUCACAUCACCUAGCUACUGGGUUCAGUGAUAUGUCAUAAUCCCUUCUGUGGGCUGGGCCCACAUAAGGAGAGUCAAAUCACUUGGGUGCUGGGAAGAGGCACAUGUCACACGUGCAAGAAGGUCCAAGGAUGAGAUUAAAAAUUCCACAAAGGUCCAAAUUCUAGAAUCACAGUCUCACAGGUGUGCUAGAUUUUGAUCUGAGAGACAGCAGUCAACCUGUGGACCAGAUCCACUCAUGAGAGUCAAUUUUCCAACUUUUGACUGUCUCCAGGGCCCAGACAGAAGAGAAGAGUCACAUCAUCUAGAUGAUGAAUGAAAAGAUAUGUCAUUAUUCUCCUUUGGGCAGUGCUUCUGCAGAAAAGUUGCACCUUCUAGGUGUUGGACUCAGCAAUAUAUCACAAUGUCUGCAGUAUUUUGGAAGGAGAGGAGAGUCACCAUUACUUAGGUGCUAGGCCCAGCAAUACAUCUCAAGCACUUCUUGGGCAAAGCCCAAGCAGUAAAAAAGAGUCACAUUACCUAGGUUCUGGGUAUAGCAAUAUGUCACAAAUGCCCCUAAGAAGAGGGCCCAGGAAAAGAGAGUCACCUUGUCUAUCUUCAAUUUACAGACCUUGGCUUUUCUACCCCAAUUCAAGAAGUCACUUCUUCAGUCAACCAAACCAAUUACAAAAUUGUGUUCCAAUGUCACAUGUUCAAAAAUAAACAGUUCCUGAAAAGAUGUAAGCUUUAAAUGGAAUUAGUCAGCAUUUUCAAUUUUGGUUAGUGCCUUUAAAGCUAGUUUAUCUCUGUUUCUAUAUUAAUCGGAAUGAAAAGAAACAUUUUUGACUUGGCAUUGAAUGACAGUUGUGAUUUUAGUAAAUUUCUUGCUCACACAUAGGAGCAACAAAAAAAUACUUUUUUUUUUUUGAGACAGAGUCUCACUCUGUU
rnacentral:lncRNA from 1 species